UUGAGCUGGUCCCAGGCAGUUCGGUAUAUAUUCCUCGCCCGGACCUUGUUUCUUGUUUCAAACCUGGGAAGGUGAAGAAAGGUAGUGUGCAACAUGGUUUGAGGACGGCUAGGCUGCUGAUGUCAGUUUUCUUCAGCAGAGAAGAACUGGCUAACUGCACUCUAACUAGCUGUACUGAGGGGAAAAAGCAGCUGAAUCCCAGGAUAAUUAAAGCUAUAAUAGACACCUGUUCGCAAAGCAGUCCAGCCACCCCAGGCAAACUGCGGCAGGCCAUAGCCUGCAAAAUUACAGCAUUUUCCUGCAAAGCAAGAAAAACAAAAAGCAGCCCAUGUGAAGACACAGAAGACAAUGAAUGGAUGGGAUAUCUGCCAUGAGAGAACAAUAGGACCAGAUCAGAUCACACUUAUAAGGAGAAGGUUGAUGUACCAAGAAAAAUCAUAUUCACAAUCUGUCUUUUUAAAGUGAAAUUUUGUAUAAAACAGUAUUUAAUAAACGAUAAGAAACUUCAA